CCUACGGGGGGCAGCAGUAAGGAAUAUUGGUCAAUGGACGGAAGUCUGAACCAGCCAUCCCGCGUGCAGGAAGAAGGUCCUAUGGAUUGUAAACUGCUUUUAGCAGAGACGAAACGCCUUCAUUUAUGGGGGUUUGACGGUAUCUGCGGAAUAAGCACCGGCUAACUCCGUGCCAGCAGCCGCGGUCAUACGGAGGGUGCAAGCGUUAUCCGGAAUCACUGGGGUGUAGGCGUGCGAUUAAGGGAGUGUAGAAAGCCUUGAGCUUAACUACAGAAUUGCCAUUGAUACUGAUGUUCUUGAAUUGGGUUGAGGUUAGCGGAAUGUGACAUGUAACGGUGAAAUGUUUAGAUAUGUCAUGGAACACCGAUUGCGAAGGCAGCUAGCUGGGCCUUGAUUGACGCUGAGGCACGAAAGCGUGGGUAGCGAACAGGAUUAGAUACCCCUGUAGUC
rnacentral:rRNA from 1 species